UACGUAGGGAGCAAGCGUUGUCCGGAAUCAUUGGGCGUAAAGCGCGCGUAGGCGGCCCGAUAAGUCCGCCGUGAAAGUCCAGGGCUCAACCCUGGAAUGCCGGUGGAAACUGUCGGGCUGGAGUCCGGAAGAGGCGAGUGGAAUUCCUGGUGUAGCGGUGAAAUGCGCAGAUAUCAGGAGGAACACCGGUGGCGAAGGCGGGUCUCUGGGCAACAACUGACGCUGGAGGAGCGAAAGCGUGGGGAGCGAACAGG
rnacentral:rRNA from 1 species